rnacentral:rRNA from 1 species
AGUGUAAAAUACCUUUCGCAGGGACGAAACCCGAAGCAAUCGGGCCGACGGUACCUGAAGAAGAAGCCCCGGCUAACUCCGUGC